rnacentral:lncRNA from 1 species
GGUCAUCAACGAGGAGGUUAGUACGGAAAUAACUUUGUUUUACCGGUACACGUGACUUAGUGAUUUUGCAUGCGGGUUAGAUGGUGGUUUAUGUUAGUGGUUUAUGUUGGUGGUUUCUGUUAGUGGUUUAUGUAAGUGGUUUAUGUUGGUGGUUUAUCUUAGUGGUUUACGUUGGUGGUUUACGUUGGUGGUUUACGUUGGUAGUUUAUGUAAGUGGUUUACGUUAACGGUUUAUGUCAGUGGUUUAUCUUAGCGGUUUAGUUGUGGUUAUUUUGUUAGAUCUUUCAUGUCAGUGGUUUAUGCUGGUUUCUUAUGUUAGUUGUUUAUGCAAGUGGUUCUCGUUCUUGGAUUUUUAAACGGUCAUAUUUAGUACGAUUUUUUGGUUUAUGGAUUAUCACGUUGAUUAUGUUUGUCACUGGUAAUUAAGUUGGUUCUAAUAAUGCGGUUCAUUUCUUCUGCAGCCUCGGCGAUGCAUCAGGAGCAUGCGGCGGCAGCAGAGCAUGCUUCUCGAUGACAGAUACGUUCCGUACCUACAGAUGGCCGGUCUAUACCAUUUUGCAAGGCUGAACGAUAGAUGGUUCCGGUUGGACGAGGCCCUUGUCAGUGCGUUUGUCGAGCGAUGGCGUCCGGAAACGCACACGUUUCAUAUGCCGUUCGGAGAGUGCACGAUCACACUCCAGUGCACGGGCGUUACGUCAGCGGCUGCCUAUCAGAGUUCCAGAUAUACAUCCAGGGUGGCCGUCCAGCCUGGGUGUGGUUCGAGGAGUUGCUUGGAGUGGUACCUCCUCCUAGCCAGGUUCAGAAGUACGCGGUCAACUGCAGCUGGUUUCAGGAGACUUUUGGUGAGUGCCCGGAGGGAGUUGAUGAGGAGACUGUGCGUCGAUGUGCCCGUGCGUGCAUCAUGAUGUUGGGCACGCAGCUGUUUGCGGACAAGUCCGGCAACCGCAUUCACAUCAGAUGGCUUCCGUUUGUAGCUAGGCUGGAGGAGAUGGGAACCUACAGCUGGGGUUCUGCAGCACUGGCAUGGUUGUACCGGUGCAUGUGCCGAGUGGCGAACAGAAAUGUUAUCAAGCUAGCGGGCCCACUUCAACUACUUCAGUCAUGAAUUUUCUGGCGAUUUCCUCGGUUUAGGCAUGCAGGGUUUGAGACGUUCAGCUGGCCAUUGGCCUCAAGGUACUGUACUAAGCCUUGUCUAUUUCAAUUUACUAUACAUAACUACGUGUUCAUUUAUAAUGUAUUGGAUACCUUAAGCACACAUUUAAGUAGCGGUAAGACGUGUAUGAUGCAGGUGGUCAGGUUACAACCCUUCCAGUAGCGAGAAGGGUCCUAGAGUUCAGAUGUGGAGGCUCUGGAUAGACCGGUUGCAGGAUAGAGAGGUCAGUAUGUUACUUAAUAAGUUUCUUUAUUUAACCACACUUUACGAGUUGGUUUCAUGAGUUGCCCCGACACUGUAUAGUUCUUGGUGCAGUUUAUCUGGAUGUCGUACAGCAGCCCCGACGUACUUCAGGUUGUGCAUCCAGAGGUUUUGGAGCCUCGGCAUAUGGUGCUGUGGCGGUCUGUUACGUCGCUUAUCUACUUUGCCGUCAUAGAGUGGCAUUAGAUAGAUAGGGUUCUUCCGCAGUUUGGAGGGGUGCAGCUCCGUCCACAUCCCGCCCUGAAUAUCGACUUUCUGAUGUCGAAGGACGGCAGAGGCGGCGAUCGAUGGUUCCCGUACCAUUUGCAGAAGUGGCAUCUCCAUUGGGAGUCCCGUGCGGAGGUUCGAUGUUGUUGCUGACCCUGGUUCGUCGCAUGAGUUCCUGGAGUGGUGGAGUCAGCACGGGAAGAGGUUCUUGUCUCCGGAUCCGCACUUGGGGGAUCCGAGAGCCGUUGCUAUUCCUGUUGAGGCCUCACAGCGGGGAGCUGGGCGAGUUCCUGAGAUGGAUCGUCCUGACGACGUGCCGGACAGGCAGCGGGUUGAGAGGAGAGCUCGCAUGGGACACGGCGGAGCCAGCGUGACUGGAGGUGGCUUGAUCGUGCUAUGGAGGAUGAUGACGAGGCCGGCCCCGCUAGGGUCGACAACGAGGCCAGCGAGGUAGAGGUAGAGGGCGUGCUGCGGUUCAUGCCGCUGCUCCUGACCCUGAGGACGAUGACGACGAUCAGCAUGGGCCCGAAGGCGGGGACGGUGCAGGGGCGGCUGCAGUUGCUGGUGUUAGUACCCAGGAUGGGGGCACGGAGGUGAGUGGUAUGGCUCAGGGAUGGGUGACGGGGCUGAGCCUAGUGACGCUGGACUUGGGUCGGGUAUACCAACAAAGUACCGUCCUGCUGAGGUAGGCUCAGCCCCGUCACCCAUCCCUGAGCCAUACCACUCACCUCCGUGCUCCCCAUCCUGGAUACUAACACCAGCAACUGCAGCCGCCCCUGCACCAUCCCCGCCCUCGGACCCAUGCUGAUCGUCGUCAUCGUCCUUAGGGUCAGGAGCAGCGGCAUGAACCGCAGCUCGCCCUCUACCUCUGCCUCGCUAGCCUCGUCGUCGACCCCCAGCGGGGGUCCGGCCUCGUCAUCAUCCUCCAUAGCACGAUCAAGCCACCUCCAGUCACGCUGGCUCCGCCGUGUCCCCACGCGAGCUCUCCUCUCACCCGCCGCUUGUCCGGCACGUUGUCAGGACGAUCCAUCUCAGGAACUCGCCCAGCUCCCCGCUGUGAGGCCUCAACAGGAAUAGCAACGGCUCUCGGAUCCUCCAAGUGCGGAUCCGGAGACAAGAACCUCUUCCCGUGCUGACUCCACCACUCCAAGAACUCACGCGACGGACCAGGGUCAACAACAACAUCGAACCUCAGCACGCUCUCCGCACGGGACUCCCAAUGGAGAUGCCACUUCUGCAAAUGGUACGAAAACCAUCGAUCGCCGCCUCUGCCGUCCUUCGACAUCAGAAAGUCGAUGUUCAGGGCGGGAUGUGGACGGGGCUGCACCCCUCCAAACUGCGGAAGAACCAUAUCUAUCUGAUGCCACUCUAUGACGGCAAAGUAGAUAAGCGACGUAACAGACCGCCACAGCGCCAUAUGCCGAUGCUCCAAAACCUCUGGAUGCACAACCUGAAGUACGUCAGGGCUGCUGUACGGCAUCCAGAUAAACUGCACCAAGAACUAUACAGUGUCAGGGCAACUCAUGAACCCAACUCGUAAAGUGUGGUUAAAUAAAAAAACUUAUUAAGUAACAUACUGACCUCUCUAUCCUGUAACCGGUCUAUCCAGAGCCUCCACAUCUGAACUCUAGAACCCUUCUCGCUACUGAAAAUGUUGUAACCUGACCACCUGCAUCAUACACGUCUUACCGCUACUUAAAUGUGUGCUUAGGGUAUCCAAUACAUUAUAAAUGAACACGUAGUUAUGUAUAGUAAAUUGAAAUAGACAAAGCUUAGUACAGUACCUCGAGGCCAAUGGCCAGCUGAACGUCUCAAACCCUGCAGGCCUAAAACGAGAAAAUCGCCAGAAAAUUCAUGACUGAAGUAGCUGAGGUGGGCCCGCUAGCUUGAUAACAUUUCUGUUCGCCACUCGGCACAUACACCGGUACAACCAUGCCAGUGCUGCAGAACCCCAGCUGUAGGUCCCCAUCUCCUCCAGCAUAGCUACAAACGGAAGCCAUCUGAUUUGAAUGCGGUUGCCGGACUUGUCCGCAAAUAGCUACGUGCCCAACAACAUCAUGAUGUACGCACGGGCAUAUCGACGCACAGUCUCCUCAUCAGCUCCCUCCGGACACUCACCAAAAGUCUCCUGAAACCAGCUGCAGUUGACCGCGUAUUUCUGAACCUGGCUAGGAGGAGGUACCACUCCAAGCAACUCCUCGAACCACACCCAGGCUGAACGGCCACCCUGGAUGUAUAUCUGGAACUCUGAUAGACAGCCGCUGACGUAACACCCGUCCACUGGCAAACCCAGCUGGUAUGCCACGUCCUGGAGUGUGAUCGUGCACUCUCCGAGCGGCAUAUGAAACGUGUGUGUUUCCGGACGCCAUCGCUCGACGAACGCACUGACAAGGGCCUCGUCCAACCGGAACCAUCUAUCGUUCAGCCUUGCAAGAUGGUAUAGACCGGCCAUCUGCAGGUACGGAACGUAUCUGUUAUCGAGGAGCAUGCCCUGCUGCCGCCGCAUGCUCCUGAUGCAUCGCUGAUGCUGCGGAAGAAAUGAACCGCAUUAUUAGAACCAACUUAAUUACCAGUGACAAACAUAAUCAACACGAUAAUUCAUAAACCAAAAAAUCGUACUAAAUAUAACCGCUUAAAAAUCCAAGAACGAGAACCACUUGCAUAAACAACUAACAUAAGAAACCAGCAUAAACCACUGACAUGAAAGAUCUAACAUAAAACAACCACAACUAAACCGCUAACAUAAACCACUAACAUAAACCACUAACGUCAACUUCUAAGAUAAACCACUAACAUAAACCGUUAACGUAAACCACUUACAUAAACCACUGAGAUAAACUAAACCACUUACAUAAACCACUGAGAUAAACCACCAACAUAAACCACCAACAUAAACUACUAACAUGAACCACUAACGUAAACCACUAACAUAAACCACCAACAUAAACCGUUAACGUAAACCACUUACAUAAACCACUAAGAUAAACCACCAACAUAAACCACUAAUAGAAACCACUAACAUAAACCAUUAACGGAAACCACUAACAUAAACCACCAUCUAACCCGCAUGCAAAACCACUAAGUCACAUGUACCGGUAGAACAAAGUUAUUUCCGUACUAACCUCCUCGUUGAUGACCCCAGCUAUAUGGGCGACUCCGUCCAAGCGAUAUAACCGUGCCGGAUCGUCCCCCAUCAGCAGAGUAUUCCAUUCAGAUCUUUGUCGGAGAGAAUCUGGGUCGUUUUCUCUGAGAUUUGGUGGGGUAGGGGAAGGUGAGAAUGAUUCGAAUGAGGCUGAUUCGAACUCCUUAUAUAGCCGAAUCACUAGUAAUUCGAAUCAGGGUAGUUCGAAUUAUUAAGAACCCAGCAUAAGUGUAAUUCGAACCAGAGUGGUUCGAAUUACUUGAAGACUUUACUUGCCUAUAAUUCGAACUAAGCUAGUUCGAUUUACGUGGAGACGGAGUUCGAACUUUGCUGAUUUGAAUUACAACCAACUUUUCAUCAAUCUAAUUCGAACUUGGCUGGUUCGAUUUACUAAGAAAUCUAAUUCGAACCGAGUUGAAAUUACAUAUAUAUAGCUCCUGGCUCAUUAUUGAAACGAAUUUCAAUUUAGCUUAUUUACGUAGUUCUCAACUUGCCUUGGCUUAUUCUAGUUUUUUGCCCUAAAAUCACUAACUAAAUAAAAAAAGUUAAGUCCAAUACUCUAAUACAGCCAAAAAUAAGCAACUUUGAAAAUAACAAAAAAUGAAGUCAAUUUUUACGUAGCAACUUAGCUAUUAAAAAGUGAAUCCAAAGCCUUCAGGUUGCAUAGUUAACUGUAAAUGACAAAUCAUCUACGACUUUUGCAACUGGUUUUAUUCACAGCCUUCAUUGAACCUGUUUCUUUUGCACAUGACGUGAUGACAAUGACAAUUAAUAGAAGCAAAUAAAUUUGUAUAAAUCAGUGACGAACAGAAGCAAUGCUAGAUAAUAAAAUUAGUUGAAACAAAAACAGAUGUAUUUAUAUAUUAAAAUACAAUUUAACUAUAGAUCAUACCAAGAAUGAAGAAUUCAACCAAUACUAAUUCUAUACAUAGUUUAUUCAAAAACUAAUAGGAAAAACUAUUCCAUAAUAAUGAACAAAAGAAUUUGUUAAUAGAUAUGAUUAUAUUUACGAUGGUCCAACGCUUUUUUCAGUCAAACACUUCUACCUACUAUACUAUUAUAGCAUCACUUCUUUCUGAAAUCUCUCACCCACUAAAGGGAACAGAAAGAGAACAAAAGAAGAAAAAGUAGGACAAUGAAUUGAAAAACAAAGAAACCAAGUUUAUAACGUUAGCUAUAACCUAGUAACUAUUGAUGACUAUUUUUGGUAUAGAAUAGAGUAGUUAUUUGCUUGAAUAUUAUGGUGCAUUUGGUUUGCGUUUUCAUUUUCUGUUUUCAUUUUCAGCAUUUUCUAUUUCUUGGAUUUUGUAAAGGUUCCUGUUUUUACUUUUUAUUUCACAAAAUCCAGAAAACAGAAAACACAGAAAAUGAAAACGCAAACCAAACACACCCUUAGGAUUCAACAAUAUAAUCAAGAGAUAUGAUUAUUUUAGAAAUGUAUAUUACUCACUCCCAUUGACACCUACUCUCCUUAACUCACCUUCUCUCUUUGACUAAAGCUUACUCAUACUUUCUCAAUUUUGUGAAGGGAAAAAGAUCUAAAUCAAGUACUGCUUGUACAAAAAGAUGAAAUAAAAAUGAUGAUUUAUAAAUCACAUAUCUCUAAACAAAAAUUGUUUCAAUUAUUUUUUUUCCAAUACUCAGAGCUGGUCAUGAUUUUAACUCAUUAGAAGAUCCCAAACACAAAAAGAAAAUUUUUUAUUCAAAAAGCCUCAUUAUUUUAAGUAUUUUAAUUUAGCUUCACUGCUCAUAUAAUAGUAUUAGUCUGAAGAACACCUAAUAUUAUGACCUAAACACAUUUUUUUAUUAAAAAAGAAGAAAAGAAAAGUACUCUGCUUUUUAUAAGAGCAAUAAGUUCAGAAUAGAAUGUAAAUAUGUAAUAAUCACAUUUAAUGUUCAUUAGCUCCACAAUAGCUUAAAGGUCUUAAUCUAGUGUAAUCUUCUUGGCCUAUUUCAAAAAAAUUGAGACAAACCAAGACCCUCCCAAAACAAACUUGAUAAAUAGUGAACUAACUCACAAGCAGCGUCCCACAAACCCAAAUUCAUGGUGCUCCCAUCCACAAUAAGCAAUUACCAAGGUCCUACAAUAGAUAAUCCUAUUUGUGAUUAUGAUUAGUUUAUAAAUAUGAAAGGCUCCUAUAACAGUAUAGCCUCUGGUACUUCAGCAUUGAAGUUCAAUGCGUAGUUAUUUCCAAAUUCCUUACACAAAAUGGUAUUAUUAUAAAGAAAGAAGCUAAAUUUUCCUUUCAAAAAAACUUCACUUCCAUGAACUUUUAAAAUUCCAAAAUAUUCUUCAGCUUCUUUUUUUUUUUUUAAAUCAAGAAGCAAAAUCUCUUUAUUAUAAAGACAAAAUCUUUAAGCAAAGCAAAGCUACAGUCAAACUAACAUUUGGAAUCUAAACUGAAUUUUAACAAUUGUAUAAUUGUGGCCCUAAUUUCCUGAAUUUCCAACAAACAACAAAUGAUUUACAAUUCAAAUAUAAAUUCCAAAAUUGUACAUUGACCACUUACAAUUAACAACAUUGUCCAAUCUUUUUUCUUUCUGUUGAAGAGUGCAUUAACAUAGAAUGUAAAAGACAUCAAUUGAAAAUCAUAGUAGGUUGAAAUAGCAAGAUAUGCACAAGAUAGACCUACGAAUAACUUGAACCAAAUGCGAGAGAAAAAGGUAAAAUAUGUGAACAGGGCAAUGAAAGCAACUACCAAAGUAUAAGUAACAAUGCACUUGAAUGUUGAAAGUUGCUUUUCAUUUAUUUCGUUAAGGAACUGACCUUGAAAUCAGAGAACAAUUGGUCCUUUUUCUGGAAUGUGUCCAUUAGCCAUAGCAACUUCAGUUUCACAAGCUGGAAUCUCAUCCACUGGAAUC